rnacentral:rRNA from 1 species
GACGAACGCUGGCGGCGUGCUUAACACAUGCAAGUCGAACGGAAAGGCCCAGCUUGCUGGGUGCUCGAGUGGCGAACGGGUGAGUAACACGUGGGUGAUCUGCCCCUAACUUCGGGAUAAGCUUGGGAAACUGGGUCUAAUACCGGAUAGGACAAUCGUUUAGUGUCGGUUGUGGAAAGUUUUUUCGGUUAGGGAUGAGCCCGCGGCCUAUCAGCUUGUUGGUGGGGUAAUGGCCUACCAAGGCGUCGACGGGUAGCCGGCCUGAGAGGGUGGACGGCCACAUUGGGACUGAGAUACGGCCCAGACUCCUACGGGAGGCAGCAGUGGGGAAUAUUGCACAAUGGGCGCAAGCCUGAUGCAGCGACGCCGCGUGGGGGAUGACGGCCUUCGGGUUGUAAACCUCUUUCGACAGGGGCGAAGCUUUGGUGACGGUACCUGUAUAAGAAGCACCGGCUAACUACGUG